UUUCAUUAUUCGUUGUUGUUUGGAAGGAAGCACGUAAUGUCCUUCUUCUCCGUUUGCUUUCUUUGAGGCUAACCCGAGACACUGUAAAGCCGGCCAGCAUUUGAUAGGUGUGUACAGAGCAAAGAUAAGAUGUAGUCGAUAGGCUUAUUUUUGAAGGAUUCCGACUAUCGUGUGCAGGUUUCUCAACUGGAGCGCCACGGGGAGCGAAGAAGCCAAGGAGUGUAUCAAGAGGCUUGAUGCGCAUGCGCGGUGCGACGGCGGCACACUUCUGGCUGCAUCUUUUUACAUUUCCCAAGAGGAAAACAUGUUGCUGUGUACCGCUAGCUAUUGCGGACACUGGGAUUGCCCUGCGGGUGCGCCACUCAUAUCACCUUGUCGGUCACAAACACCUGCUACGCUGUCGUACCGUCCGGAUGUUUUGCGGCCAGAACCUUUGGAACUCCAGGUAUCCAUCGCUGGAAGGGGUGCUCUCCUUUCGUUCAGGUACAGUACCCAUGUUGGAUCAGUUUUACUACAAUGCCUUUGUCCGUGUUUUCACUGCUCCUUCCUAGCUGCAUUUUGCAUUUCUGGCAUCGACGCCAAAAUAUAAUUAAUAGGA